rnacentral:tRNA from 1 species
UUUUAUAUAGUUUAAAACAAAAACAUUAUAUUUUCAUUAUAAAAAAAAAGUAAAAAAACUUUUAUAAAAU